rnacentral:snRNA from 1 species
GAGUGUGAUAGUGAUAUGGUGGUGACAACUGUCACCCCAUGGAUCUCCAGAGUUCAUUUGACUGAUCUGGCUGAUGAGUGUGGUCUUCCCCCACCACUCCAUGUGCCUUACUCUGGAAGCUGAACAAAGUUGAAGGGAUGACCUUUCCUGAUAGAGGAGGACCAUACUUGGUCCAGGGUAUUGAAUAGCUGCAUUCCCCUAAACAAGUUUUUUUUUUUUUGGUUGAGCCUGGGGCUUGAACUCAGGCCUCAUGGU